AGCAGCCGCGGUAAUACGUAGGGAGCGAGCGUUAUCCGGAUUUACUGGGUGUAAAGGGUGCGUAGGCGGUUUGUUAAGUCAGAAGUGAAAUUUAGGGGCUCAACCUCUAAGCUGCUUCUGAAACUGAUGAACUAGAGUGUGGGAGAGGAAAGUGGAAUUCCGAGUGUAGCGGUGAAAUGCGUAGAGAUUCGGAGGAACACCAGUAGCGAAGGCGGCUUUCUGGACCAUAACUGACGCUGAGGCACGAAAGCGUGGGGAGCAAAUAGGAUUAGAUACCCUGGUAGUCCACGCUGUAAACGAUGAAUGCUAGGUGUCGGGGCUUACGGGUCUCGGUGCCGAAGUUAACACAUUAAGCAUUCCACCUGGGAAGUACGAUCGCAAGAUUGAAACUCAAAGAAAUUGACGG
rnacentral:rRNA from 1 species